rnacentral:rRNA from 1 species
UACGUAGGGUCCGAGCGUUGUCCGGAAUUACUGGGCGUAAAGAGCUCGUAGGUGGUUUGUCGCGUUGUUCGUGAAAACUCACAGCUCAACUGUGGGCGUGCGGGCGAUACGGGCAGACUAGAGUACUGCAGGGGAGACUGGAAUUCCUGGUGUAGCGGUGGAAUGCGCAGAUAUCAGGAGGAACACCUGCGGCGAAGGCGGGUUGCUGGGCUGAUACUGACGCUGAGGCGCGAAAGCCAGGGGAGCGAACGGG